GACAGAGGGUGCAAACGUUGUUCGGAAUUACUGGGCGUAAAGCGCGCGCAGGCGGUUCUCCAAGUCAGUGGUGAAAGCCCGGAGCUCAACUCCGGAACUGCCAUUGAAACUGUUGAACUUGAGGACGAGAGAGGUGAGUGGAAUUCCCAGUGUAGAGGUGAAAUUCGUAGAUAUUGGGAAGAACACCAGUGGCGAAGGCGGCUCACUGGCCCGAUACUGACGCUGAGGCACGAAAGCGUGGGGAGCAAACAGG
rnacentral:rRNA from 1 species